UACGGAGGGUGCGAGCGUUAAUCGGAAUAACUGGGCGUAAAGGGCACGCAGGCGGACUUUUAAGUGAGGUGUGAAAGCCCCGGGCUUAACCUGGGAAUUGCAUUUCAGACUGGGGGUCUAGAGUACUUUAGGGAGGGGUAGAAUUCCACGUGUAGCGGUGAAAUGCGUAGAGAUGUGGAGGAAUACCGAAGGCGAAGGCAGCCCCUUGGGGAUGUACUGACGCUCAUGUGCGAAAGCGUGGGGAGCAAACA
rnacentral:rRNA from 1 species